rnacentral:lncRNA from 1 species
GCAUGCCCACGCCCGGACCGGCGGCGCGCCGCCGAGCCCCACCCCCCCACCCCAAAGAGCGGGGCCAGCGGCAAGCCAAGCCGGGCCGCCCCCAAGAGGAAGCGGCGGCUGCUUGCCCCGGCGCGGCUGAGCAGAGGCUGGGUUGCAGAGCGCCAAGCGGGCGCCCGCGCGGGGCGCAUCCUUCCCUUGGCUUCGAGGGAGGCGACGAGGCGGGGGGCUUUUCCGUCCGAGCCCCUGCGGCCCCUUCCCCGACGGGGCUCCCCGAACCUCCUACCUCUUCCUCGAGGCUGUUGCUGCUGCUGUGCUCGCUUUCCUUGGGCAAGUUGCUCAUCCUGGGUGCGGGGAGCGGCGCCGGGAAAGCGGGAGGGGGCUCGCGGGCCGGGCCGGAGGGGCUGCCUUGUACCUUCGCAAAAAAAAAAUGUGUUUCUUUCCCCCCGCUUUCCUCCUUCUCCGUGGUCUUGUUCCUGUGCCGUCGGGGGGAAGCCGAGCGAGAGAGCCACGCGGGGCCGCCUGGGCGAGCCUUCAGUGGGCUACGAGGGGGGGCAGUGCCUGGUGCGAGCCGGGGAAAGGUGCCAGAGGGGGGAGGGAAGAGAGAGAGAAGACGGAGCCCCCCUCGACGUGCGCUGGUGCUGCUGUGUGCAGGUGGGCGGUGGGGGGGGCGGACGGUGCGGCUUAUCUGGCGCGCCCCGGCUCACAUCCAGCUGGCUGGCGGCGGCGCCGGCCAAUGAGCAGCGGCCAAGGGGGCCAACGAGUUGCAGCUGCUGCUCUUGCUGCUGCUGCUGCUGCCUGCUCUGCUGCCGCCGCCGGGGCCCGCGCGCAGCCCAGCCCAGCCCAGCCCAGCCCGCGCGCUCCGCCUCGCCUCGCCUCGCCUCGCCUCGGGCUGCCGCUCCGCGAUUGCACGCGCCCGCAGGGAGCGCCCGGGCCGCCCGGACGGCCGGGGCGGGGCGGGGCCCGCAGCCCAGCCCCUCGCCCUGCAUCACCGUCGCCAGGGGAACUGGGCAGCCAAUCCCCGACGCCGCCGGCUGCAAACUUUCUCCGGCCCUCGACGGGUAUCUCUCGCUCUCGCCCCUUCUUUUUUUUUUUUCUUCCUUCCUUCUCUCUCUCUCUCUCUCCUCCUUUUUGCUGCUUCCUGCGCGAAACUUUUUAAACUUUGAUGAACUCGCCGGGCUGAACUUUCUUAAAGGGCUCGCGCGCCUUCGUGCAAAGCGAUCCGCCGCCCCGGCCGGGAAAUUCUUUUUUCCCGCGUCUAAAUUCGCGGACUCGCUCCUUCCCCAGCCCAGACCCAAACGGACAGAGGGUGUCUUCCGCCCAAGAAGCAAAGACGGUUGUAUCGCCUUCUGGCCAGCUUCAGAGCGAGGAACCCCAUCAGCCAAGCGGACUGAAGGUGGAUUAGAGCUUAGCUUAUUAAAUCCGUAUCAGGAGCUGAAAAGGGUCAGUAAGCGGACUCGGUCUGGCAGCUUCGCCCCGUCGUAUUUGCUGGACUUCGAGGCGAAGCGGAACGCGAACUGAGAUCGAUUGCAAACUGGCGGGACUGGAGCUGCCCAGGAACCAGAAGCGGGGGAAAGGAAAGAUUUUGGGCGCCCUUAAAAAUAUAUUCGACCUUAAGUCGGCCGCCGUGCGAGGCUCCAGAGGUUUGCUUCCAAAACGGGAAUCGUCUUGGGUCUUCUUGAUGCAAUCAACGAAUCAAGCGGUACAGCUAUUCUCGGACCGGAACAUUUCAGGCUGCGGGGGUGUGGGAAUAUGGGUGUUUGGGUCCUUCUUUUCUACGGAAGGGAAGAAAACAAGAGAAGAGAAAAUUAAUAUAGGAAGCAGCUUUGAUAGCAGACGGGGAAAUUCGUUUUCAUCAUUCACGAAUCGUGCAACAAACGCACGGAUGUAGCUGCCUCUGGCCUGAUGUGCUUCAAGCCAAGAGAGUCUCAAGUUGAUGCGCGCCUGCCUGAUCGUCUGAACUGGCGCUCAUUCUGGGCGUAGGAAGACAGGUCUCCCUGCCAUUCUGGGGCGUAAAUGUUUUCCCUUUCAUCAGACUUAAGUGGCUAUUUGCUGCGUUUUCCAGGAGAAAAGAGGAAAGCCGGAAAGCUGUCUGCACAUGUUUAGGAACCCUGCUGCGCAGCGAAUUCCAGACUGAAAUGCCAAAUGACAUUCUACACGGCUUGCUACGGAGGAAAAGGGGACUCACUCCGAAGCCAAAUGAUGCGGGGGGGGGGGAAAGCGGAAGUGGGAAUUAUGUCUGCUGUUGUUCGCUGAAAGUUGCAAACCCAUCUGGGCCUGCCCAUGACGUGAUGAAACCCGAAAACGUUGCAUUUCCUGGCCCAAAUUUGUUUAUUUAUUUCCCUCUGCUUGUUUAAAGGGCAGGGAUAAACGAACUCCUCAUUUGUAGCGCUUGAAAUGUUACUUUCUAGAAUUUCCUUCUCCGUUCUGUUGUGUUCCAUGAAAGAAAACACGCUUUCUUUACAAUAAACUGCCCUUUUCUGGGCCA